GAUAAACGCUGGCGGCGUGCCUAAUACAUGCAAGUCGAGCGAACAGACGAGGAGCUUGCUCCUCUGACGUUAGCGGCGGACGGGUGAGUAACACGUGGAUAACCUACCUAUAAGACUGGGAUAACUUCGGGAAACCGGAGCUAAUACCGGAUAAUAUAUUGAACCGCAUGGUUCAAUAGUGAAAGACGGUUUUGCUGUCACUUAUAGAUGGAUCCGCGCCGCAUUAGCUAGUUGGUAAGGUAACGGCUUACCAAGGCAACGAUGCGUAGCCGACCUGAGAGGGUGAUCGGCCACACUGGAACUGAGACACGGUCCAGACUCCUACGGGAGGCAGCAGUAGGGAAUCUUCCGCAAUGGGCGAAAGCCUAACGGAGCAACGCCGCGUGAGUGAUGAAGGUCUUCGGAUCGUAAAACUCUGUUAUUAGGGAAGAACAAAUGUGUAAGUAACUAUGCACGUCUUGACGGUACCUAAUCAGAAAGCCACGGCUAACUACGUG
rnacentral:rRNA from 1 species